GACGAACGCUGGCGGCGUGCCUAAUACAUGCAAGUCGAACGAGAGCGCCCGGUGCUUGCACUGGUCAAUCUAGUGGCGAACGGGUGAGUAACACGUGGGUAACCUGCCCAUCAGAGGGGGAUAACAUCCGGAAACGGAUGCUAAAACCGCAUAGGUCUUCGAACCGCAUGGUUUGAAGAGGAAAAGAGGCGCAAGCUUCUGCUGAUGGAUGGACCCGCGGUGCAUUAGCUAGUUGGUGAGGUAACGGCUCACCAAGGCCGUGAUGCAUAGCCGACCUGAGAGGGUGAUCGGCCACAUUGGGACUGAGACACGGCCCAAACUCCUACGGGAGGCAGCAGUAGGGAAUCUUCCGCAAUGGACGCAAGUCUGACGGAGCAACGCCGCGUGAGUGAAGAAGGUUUUCGGAUCGUAAAACUCUGUUGUUAGAGAAGAACAAGUGCUAGAGUAACUGUUAGCGCCUUGACGGUAUCUAACCAGAAAGCCACGGCUAACUGCGUG
rnacentral:rRNA from 1 species